GGAGAAAUUGUAUUCAUUUAUGGCAAUGGACAGCAGCCAGGGGCCAUAUUCAUCCUCUAGGAGUGGUGAUUUGGGAUCGGUUUUCCUUGGCUCAUAGCCUGGCCUUGACCAUUGAUUAGGGCAAAGAAGGCGAAAUGGGCUACAACUUGAUCCCAGAUCACCACUAGCCUACAGUUAUGAAUUUGGCCCAGGAGAUCCAGCAGAGCUAACAGGACACUGGGAUCUAUCACCAGCUCUCUGGAAUUAGGAAUAAGAAGUCAAGUUGCCACAAAACAGCACAAGAAGCCUUACAUAAUGGAGAAAUUGUAUUCAUUUAUGGCAAUGGACAGCAGCCAGGGGCCAUAUUCAUCCUCUAGGAGUGGUGAUUUGGGAUCGGUUUUCCUUGGCCCAUAGCCCGGCCUUGACCAUUGAUUAGGGCAAAGAAGGCGAAAUGGGCUACAACUUGAUCCCAGAUCACCACUAGCCUACAGUUAUGAAUUUGGCCCAGGAGAUCCAGCAGAGAUAACAG